rnacentral:rRNA from 1 species
AUUGAACGCUGGCGGCAGGCCUAACACAUGCAAGUCGAGCGGAUGAAGGGAGCUUGCUCCUGGAUUCAGCGGCGGACGGGUGAGUAAUGCCUAGGAAUCUGCCUGGUAGUGGGGGAUAACGUCCGGAAACGGGCGCUAAUACCGCAUACGUCAUGAGGGGGAAAGUGGGGGAUCUUUGGACCUCACGCUAUCAGAUGAGCCUAGGUCGGAUUAGCUAGUUGGUGGGGUAAAGGCGUACCAAGGCGACGAUCCGUAACUGGUCUGAGAGGAUGAUCAGUCACACUGGAACUGAGACACGGUCCAGACUCCUACGGGAGGCAGCAGUGGGGAAUAUUGGACAAAGGGCGAAAGCCUGAUCCAGCCAUGCCGCGUGUGUGAAGAAGGUCUUCGGAUUGUAAAGCACUUUAAGUUGGGAGGAAGGGCAGUAAGUUAAUACCUUGCUGUUUUGACGUUACCAACAGAAUAAGCACCGGCUAACUUCGCG